rnacentral:rRNA from 1 species
GUGUUGCAUAGAAGUUUCAGCUCGUGUCGUGAGAUGUUGGGUUAAGUCCCGUAACGAGCGCAACCCUUGUCCUUAGUUACCAGCACGUUAUGGUGGGCACUCUAAGGAGACUGCCGGUGACAAACCGGAGGAAGGUGGGGAUGACGUCAAGUCAUCAUGGCCCUUACGGCCUGGGCUACACACGUGCUACAAUGGUCGGUACAGAGGGUUGCCAAGCCGCGAGGUGGAGCUAAUCUCACAAAACCGAUCGUAGUCCGGAUCGCAGUCUGCAACUCGACUGCGUGAAGUCGGAAUCGCUAGUAAUCGCGAAUCAGAAUGUCGCGGUGAAUACGUUCCCGGGCCUUGUACACACCGCCCGUCAACACCAUGGGAGUGGGUUGCUCCAGACAAGUAGCCUAGUCUAACCUUU